UCGAGGAGCGGGCCGGGAAGGCCGCCGAGCUCGAGGCGCGGGAGCAGGACGCGCGUGCCUGAUCUCGCGGCGUUCGAGCGCCUCGUCGGC
rnacentral:tRNA from 1 species